rnacentral:rRNA from 1 species
UACGAAGGGGGCUAGCGUUGUUCGGAAUUACUGGGCGUAAAGCGUACGUAGGCGGAUCGUUAAGUGAGGGGUGAAAUCCCGAGGCUCAACCUCGGAACUGCCUUUCAUACUGGCAAUCUUGAGUCCGGGAGAGGUGAGUGGAACUCCUAGUGUAGAGGUGAAAUUCGUAGAUAUUAGGAAGAACACCAGUGGCGAAGGCGGCUCACUGGCCCGGAACUGACGCUGAGGUACGAAAGCGUGGGGAGCAAACAGG